UACGUAGGGUGCGAGCGUUGUCCGGAUUUAUUGGGCGUAAAGAGCUCGUAGGCGGUUUGUCGCGUCGGCCGUGAAAUCUCCACGCUUAACGUGGAGCGUGCGGUCGAUACGGGCAGACUUGAGUUCGGUAGGGGAGACUGGAAUUCCUGGUGUAGCGGUGAAAUGCGCAGAUAUCGGGAGGAACACCAGUAGCGAAGGCGGCACUCUGGGCCGGUACUGACGCUGAGGAGCGAAAGCGUGGGGAGCAAACAGG
rnacentral:rRNA from 1 species